rnacentral:tRNA from 1 species
GACCGCGUAGCUCAGUUGGAAGAGCAUUGGUCUAGUAUUCCAAAGGUCGUAGGUUCGAAUCCCGCCGUGGUCA